AGAUUUCCCAACUUCGGUUAUAAGAUCCCUCAAAGAUGAUGAGGUUAAUAGGUUCGAGGUGGAAGCAUGGUGACAUGUGGAGCUGACGAAUACUAAUCGAUCGAAGACUUAAUCAA
rnacentral:rRNA from 1 species